AGGCGUGGUGGCGGGCGCCUGUGAUCCCAGCUACUCAGGAGGCUGAGGCAGGAUAAUCGCUUGAACCCGGGAGGCAGAAGCUGCAGUGAG
ensembl:miRNA